AACCCCACUUCUGGUUGAGACUUCUUUUGCAGGUCCCGACGGCGACCGCGACCCCCUCGACUCCAGCUUCUCCGACGCAAGCGAAUUUUUGCACCAACAAUUAGUAAUCCCCUCAAAUGCUUUGUAAUCAUCAAAAUUAUUUCAAGGAGCAAUAAUGACUACGUAGAGAUGGGUCAUGAUCUAAGAAUACUAUUCGUGCUCAGUG
rnacentral:lncRNA from 1 species